UACGAAGGGGGCUAGCGUUGUUCGGAAUUACUGGGCGUAAAGGGCGUGUAGGCGGUCCGCUAAGACAGGUGUGAAAUUCCUGGGCUCAACCCAGGACGUGCGCCUGUGACUGACGGACUUGAGUCCGGGAGAGGAUGGUGGAACUCCCAGUGUAGAGGUGAAAUUCGUAGAUAUUCGCAAGAACACCAGUGGCGAAGGCGGCUCACUGGCCCGAUACUGACGCUGAGGUGCGAAAGCGUGGGGAGCAAACAGGGAUUAAGAUACC
rnacentral:rRNA from 1 species